rnacentral:rRNA from 1 species
UACGUAGGGGGCAAGCGUUGUCCGGAUUUAUUGGGCGUAAAGAGCGUGUAGGCGGCUUUGCAAGUCCGUUGUGAAAACUCGAGGCUCAACCUCGAGACGCCGAUGGAAACCAUUUGGCUAGAGUCCGGAAGAGGAGAGUGGAAUUCCUGGUGUAGCGGUGAAAUGCGCAGAUAUCAGGAGGAACACCUGUGGCGAAAGCGGCUCACUGGACCAUAACUGACGCUGAUGCACGAAAGCUAGGGGAGCAAACAGG